rnacentral:rRNA from 1 species
UAUCUCUGUAGAGUCUGCAUAUCAAUAAGCGGAGGAAAAGAAACUAACAAGGAUUCCCUUAGUAACGGCGAGUGAAGCGGGAAGAGCUCAAAUUUGAAAUCUUCAAGGUUUUACCUUGACGAAUUGUAGUUUAAAGAAGUGUUUUCUGUUGAAGUUUCGGUAAAAGUUCUUUGGAAUAGGACAUCAUAGAGGGUGAGAAUCCCGUAUUUGACCAUUAUUUCCAGCUUUGUGAUACACUUUCAAAGAGUCGGAUUGUUUGGGAAUGCAGUCCAAAAUGGGUGGUAAAUUUCAUCUAAAGCUAAAUAUUGGCGAGAGACCGAUAGCGAACAAGUACCGUGAGGGAAAGAUGAAAAGAACUUUGAAAAGAGAGUUAAACAGUACGUGAAAUUGUCAAAAGGGAAGCGUUUGACACCAGUGUUGUUUUCUCGAAAAUCAAUUAAAAAAGGCAGGAUUUUGUGUUGUAUUGACUUUAUCAGCUUUCUGCACUCUUUUCUUGUCUUUUUUAAUGCACUUUUCGUUUAACAAGUCAACAUCAAUUUCUUUUGUUGUAAAAGAGUCAUUGGAAGGUGGCUUUCACUUCGGUGAAAGUGUUUAUAGCCUUUGGCUUCUGCAAUCGGAGAGAUUGAGGUCUGCAGCGUAGAUCCUUCGGGGCUAGAUACGUAGAUGCUAAGUUAUAGUUUUUUAUAGACAACUUGUUGACUAUAAUUAAUCAUGUAGCUUACUCGUUUGCGCUAUUUUACCUACGCUUAGGAUGUUGAAGAUGUAGCACAUCAU